AACGCGAAGAACCUUACCUGGCCUUGACAUCUACGGAAUUCUGCAGAGAUGCGGAAGUGCCUUCGGGAACCGUAAGACAGGUGCUGCAUGGCUGUCGUCAGCUCGUGUCGUGAGAUGUUGGGUUAAGUCCCGCAACGAGCGCAACCCUUGUCCUUAGUUGCCAUCAUUAAGUUGGGAACUCUAAGGAGACCGCCGGUGACAAACCGGAGGAAGGUGGGGAUGACGUCAAGUCAUCAUGGCCUUUAUGGCCAGGGCUACACACGUGCUACAAUGGCAGGUACAGAGGGAAGCCAACGCGCGAGCGGGAGCCAAUCCCAGAAAGCCUGUCGUAGUCCGGAUCGGAGUCUGCAACUCGACUCCGUGAAGUCGGAAUCGCUAGUAAUCGCAGAUCAGCAUUGCUGCGGUGAAUACGUUCCCGGGCCUUGUA
rnacentral:rRNA from 1 species